CUUAUAUAUGUUAACGUGAGGAGAGAUGACACGCGUGCGACGCUCAUUGGUCACUUCACCUUCUGCCCUAUCUAUCCUUUUUCCAAAUUUAUCAUUUACUUUACUAAACUUCAUUUUUCUUUCGGGUUAAGUUAAAAGAUAAAUUUGGUUUCAUUUAUUCUGAGCAAACAUGCAUUCUUGAUUCUGAAAUUUGGGACUGGCUGUAAUUAAACGUUAUCGCACUGUCCGUAGAUGUGCAGAUGGUCGAGCUAGAUAAAGAUGAGUUGAGGUUAACUUACCCGCACGGACUCUCCAUGUUAUUAUAGCAUCCAGUUGUGGGUUAUAUUCGGGGUACUAAGCUGACUUCAAAAGAGAUCGAUCAUAAAUAUUGAGGGCUUACACUCAUGAGCUAUCAGUCUGAUGUCGUUCGAUCAUCCAUUCUGGAGUCCCCAAAUGAAUUACCUAUAUGAAUUCAAAGUAUAAAGCCCUCUAUGGAGCCCAUUUAACAACUAUAUACAAGGUAGAAGUUACCUCCCAUUCACUAUUUACUAUUACUAGAUAUUAAUUCUGACUUGGACAUUAGAUUGCCUCUGUAGAUUCCUCCCCUCGGACUGAACCACCACCACAUAGAUUAUCAGCACCGGCUGAUUUACAUCCAACCUCCCUUGCGGUGAACUCAUCUUUUAAAACUAUAACAUUGAUCGUUAUACAAUUUGUUUUUGGUGGGUAUGUAACCCAAAUAUUCAUGCCGACAUUUUUAACCACCAUCGAUUGAGGAAAUUAGUUGGUUAAUGCGGCUAAAUUGAACGGGGAGCUUGUUUAAUUAUUAAAACAAUAUCUUGUUCCCACCUUUCCCCAAACUAAAAAAAACAUCUGCCAAGUGUUUUGAAUUUUUAUAGGACUCAAGCAGAAUUGAUUGAGCGCGCGCACGAGUGUGUCUAUAUAUACAUAGCCAGUGACAUAACUCUUCAAACGUCAAUAGUGGAAAAGUUUAAAACGAGCUACUUUUUCUUUGGGAGAAAUGUGAACCAAGUUUUUUGUGAGUCAUUGAAGCUUUUUGAAAUUGCGACAAUCAUGCAAAUGCGAUUGGAAAUAAACACAAAUUAAGUUGUGGAUAGAAAUCUAAUGUUCUCCUUGGUUACUAACACUCUUAUUUCAAACACAAUACAAAAAUGCCACGAUAAAUAUAAAAGCAAUCAUACACGACCAUAUUCAUCUAUGCACAAAUAAAUUAAAGAGAUCACUAAAAGUGGACUGUACUUAUGACUUUCACUUGACAUUUACAUUCAAAUACUGCUUCCUCAUUUUGAUUUGUAUGUCACUUGAGUACAACAAGACCAGGACGUGCAAGAUGGCCACCAAA